rnacentral:rRNA from 1 species
UACGGGGGGGGCAAGCGGUUGUUCGGAAUUACUGGGCGUAAAGGGCGCGUAGGCGGUGCUCUAAGUUAGAUGUGAAAACUCUGGGCUCACCCAGAGCCUGCAUCUAAAACUGGAGUGCUAGAGUUCUGGAGGGGGUAGCGGAAUUCCUGGUGUAGCGGUGAAAUGCGUAGAUAUCAGGAGGAACACCAAUGGCGAAGGCAGCUCACUGGGACGGUAUUGACGCUGAGACGCGAAAACGUGGGGAGCAAACAGG